ensembl:lncRNA
AAUUCCAUUUUGCAGAAUUACAACCAUGAAUGCUGUAAAUGCUGUGCAACUGUUCUUUCUGGUUUGGAGCUUUACUGCUGUCUGUCAAGCUGAUGAUGAUGUCAAAGUAAGCUGUGAUGAUGUGACUGGAUCUGUGGGGAAAGAAGUAACUCUCACCUGCAACGUCUCACUGCAGAGCCCUGAUUGUUCCAUUAUAAUGUGUAUGUUUCGAUACCCUAAUAACUCAGCCAUCUGUGAACAAGAGCUUCUUAAUGACUCCAGCUUCACAUGCCGCUACACUCCAACUACAGCAAUGACAGAAAAAUUCAGCUUCUUUGUGCUGACAAAUUGUGGAAGAAAUACAAAAGAAUUCACUGUGGACAUAUCAGAGUCAUCAUUACACAAAGAAGAUGUACGUGAAGAUAAUGGAUCUAAGAAUGAUGGAUCUAUGGAUGCUGUCAUCACUACAAUUGUGGGCUUAUCUGUCAUCCUCAUCCUCAUCAUCAUCUUAAUGACAAUCAUUUGCAAAAAACUAUCUUUUGGGUUCCAGAAAAGGAUGUUUCUGUGCAUCAAACAUGAUGAUGGCAACAGUAAUUGUCCUGAACAAGUGAUAUAAUAUUGAUUCAGCAAAACAAAACUAUUGAGUUUUGUUUGACUUUUCAUGUGCUGCUCAUGAAACACACAAGCUUUAUUUGAACUCCACUAAACUACAUACUCUACUGUCUCUUGUAUCUCAAACUACUCAAUAUAUAACUAUGUUGUUGAUUUAAAACCAGAUUUCUGUUUUAUACAAGUUUCUGUGAAAUAACAGUAUAUUAUUGAUCUGUCUGAUCAGUGUGUAUAUUUGUAAAUGUGACUGUAAUGAACUCAAGCUUUUGUGAACUUUAAGAGGAAACACAGCGGAACUCAAACUGUGUUUGGUUUUGCUCUUUUGUAAAUAUAACUAAAGUUUGGAAAUUAUUUUUUAAUAUUCUACACUUGCAGUGUGGUUUUGUACAGUGGUUCAAUUAUAUAAUCCUGAAGUCAGAUCAACGUUAAAACAACGUUAAACAUGGAAAUCGAACCUCUGAAAGCACGACGUGUUAAAACUUAAUCUUCCGGUCGAUUUAAGUACACCUGCCCUGAAUGAAACAGUUCAGACGAGGUUAGAGGAGAAAAACCAAUCUGUAAAGAUGAUGGUCCAUUUGUCUCUACAGGCCGCUGUUAUACAUUCCUAUUAAAAUGCAGGCAUUAAAAUGUCGACUUUCUCUGAGGAGACAAAUUGUCGAGCUGUCUGUCUGAGACAGGGUAAGCGCUUGUGUUUCUGGAGUGGGCCACUGGAAGUGGCUUUGAUUAAUGGCAGGCCAGAGCUGAGCUGCUACCUUUCCCACUGAGAGAGCAAUUCAGGGGCUGAUGUGUGCAAUCGGAUACUAGAGCACUGCCAAAUUACCAAUGAGGCGGCUUUAAAGGAAGUCUUCCCCAAAGCAGUGUGAGAAAACCAUAUGAAGCAUGAAUGAGAAAACAGAAACACUUCACACAAACCCACAAACAAAUGUCCAUUUAUCAAGAUACACCAACUGGAACCAUGACUCAAAUAUGUGCAGUGGUACUUAGAAGAAACUCAAAAGAGCAGGUAU